rnacentral:rRNA from 1 species
AACGAACGCUGGCGGCAGGCCUAACACAUGCAAGUCGAGCGAAGCCUUCGGGCUUAGCGGCGGACGGGUGAGUAACGCGUGGGAACGUGCCCUUUGCUACGGAAUAGCCCCGGGAAACUGGGAGUAAUACCGUAUGUGCCCUUCGGGGGAAAGAUUUAUCGGCAAAGGAUCGGCCCGCGUUUGAUUAGGUAGUUGGUGGGGUAAUGGCCUACCAAGCCGACGAUCCAUAGCUGGUUUGAGAGGAUGAUCAGCCACACUGGGACUGAGACACGGCCCAGACUCCUACGGGAGGCAGCAGUGGGGAAUCUUAGACAAUGGGCGGAAGCCUGAUCUAGCCAUGCCGCGUGAUCGAUGAAGGCCUUAGGGUUGUAAAGAUCUUUCAGGUGGGAAGAUAAUGACUGUACCACCAGAAGAAGCCCCGGCUAACUCCGUGCCAGCCGCCGCAGUAAUAC